NAUAGGGAUCUAAUCCUAGUUAUCUUCUAAGGUUUAGUACUGUUAAAUCCUCUUUACAUUAGGUUUUAAAGUUAAUGUGUGCUUAAGGGUAAAUUGUAGCUCAUUGUGUCUAUAAAAUACGCUGCACCAUGGCCUGUUUUUAUUGAGGCAUCUCGGUAAUAAAACUUUUUAGUGGUUAACUUCUACGGCGGUAUACAUACAUAUUUAUAGUAAGGUAUUCGGUGUGGUGUCGUUUAGGCAACAAGCUCCUCUAAUUUGGUGAAUUGCCCGCCAAAUUCUUUGGGUUUGAGGUGUAUAAGUAAUUACUACCCUCCAUUGGUUUAUUCAGGAAUAAUAGGGGAUCUAAUCCUAGUUUA
rnacentral:rRNA from 1 species